ACGGGGCAUUGCCUUAGUAGCGGCGAGUGAAGCGGCAAAAGCUCAAAUUUGAAAUCUGGCGCCUUCGGUGUCCGAGUUGUAAUUUGAAGAUUGUAACCUUGGGGUUGGCUCUUGUCUAUGUUUCUUGGAACAGGACGUCACAGAGGGUGAGAAUCCCGUGCGAUGAGAUGCCCAAUUCUAUGUAAGGUGCUUUCGAAGAGUCGAGUUGUUUGGGAAUGCAGCUCUAAGUGGGUGGUAAAUUCCAUCUAAAGCUAAAUAUUGGCGAGAGACCGAUAGCGAACAAGUACAGUGAUGGAAAGAUGAAAAGAACUUUGAAAAGAGAGUGAAAAAGUACGUGAAAUUGUUGAAAGGGAAGGGUUUGAGAUCAGACUCGAUAUUUUGUGAGCCUUGCCUUCGUGGCGGGGUGACCCGCAGCUUAUCGGGCCAGCAUCGGUUUGGGCGGUAGGAUAAUGGCGUAGGAAUGUGACUUUACUUCGGUGAAGUGUUAUAGCCUGCGUUGAUGCUGCCUGCCUAGACCGAGGACUGCGAUUUUAUCAAGGAUGCUGGCAUAAUGAUCCCAAACCGCCCGUCUUGAAAMAMCGGACMAAAAAAA
rnacentral:rRNA from 1 species